CAAUAGCGUUUAUUUAAGUUGUUGCAGUUAAAAAGCUCGUAGUUGGAUUUCGGGUGGGACGCAGCGGUCUCGCAUUGCGUUUGUACUGCUGCAGCCCUCCUUCUUGCCGGGGGCGGCCUCUCGGACUUCACUGUCUGGGGGUCAGAAUCGGCGAUGUUACUUUGAGUAAAUUAGAGUGUUCAAAGCAAGCUUACGCUCUGAAUAUAAUAGCAUGGGAUAACACGACAGGACUCUGGCCUAUCGUGUUGGUCUAUAGGACCAGAGUAAUGAUUAAGAGGGACAGUCGGGGGCAUUCGUAUUCCGUUGUCAGAGGUGAAAUUCUUGGAUUUACGGAAGACGAACAUCUGCGAAAGCAUUUGCCAAGGAUGUUUUCAUUGA
rnacentral:rRNA from 1 species